ensembl:lncRNA
CUUUGCUGAGAAAUUAUCCUAUUUGGGGUAUUAAGUGCCUCUUUAAACAUAGCCUACAUUUUAAAAUUUAGAAUAUUUUUUACAUUUUCUCUCCCACACCAAACUCUUGUGACAAAAAUAACAAAACCAAAAAACAGUAGUCUCCCUUUACUCGUGGGAGAUAUGUUCCAAGACCCCCAGCAGAUGCCUGAAACCGCGGGGAGUAACGAACCCUAUAUAUACCAUGUUUUUUCCUAUACAUACAUACCUAUGAUAAAGUUUAACUUAAAAAUAGGCACAUUAAGAGAUUAACAAUAGUAAAAUAGAACAAUUAUACUGUAUAAAAAUUAUGUGAAUGUGGCCUCUCAAAACCUUUUUGUACUCACCCUUCGUGUGAUGUGAGAUGGUACAACGCCUACAAGAUGAGACGAAGUGAGGUGAAUGACCUAAGCACUAUGACACAGCAUUAGGCUACUACUGACCUUCUGACGAUUAGUCAGGAGGAUCAUUGAGCCAUGACGAAGGCUGGAUGUCAGGACCAUACGAGGUCUACUGUUGACCUCAGGUAACUGAAACUAUGGAAAGCGAAACUGCAGAUAAGUGGGGACUACUGUACCACAAACUUUCUUUAUGGAAAGUAUCAACACCUUAUUUUAUCAUUACCAAUGUAUGCAUCUGGUGCCAAAGAAAUAAAGGAAAUCUUACGAACUCAGAAUUUUUCACAUACAUUUUAUUGUACUUGUAUUGAAAUUUCCACUUUAUUGUACAGUUUUAUAUCAUACUAGUUGAAACGCAUUUCUCUAGAACUCAAACAGCUCCUUUGGAAUUACUUCAGUCAUCCUUAACAUGUGACUUUACCAAAGAUUUUGAAUCUAAACAAACAAAAUUUUGAUUAUUAACUUUUACAUGAAUGGGAUAAGAAAUAAAGUCAUCAGAUGAUGGUUGGGUCUGUUAAUUUCCAAGACACUUUGUAGAAAUUUUUCUUCUGCUACAGCAGUUAUAAAUUAGAACUUCAAAAAACAGGGCAGAACCCAAGUACAAUAAAAGAAGCUUCUGCAGCAUAACCUCCUGCAGUCCCAAGCCUCUGAGAGAAGCGAGGCAAAGCAUCUUUCCUGCAAAUUAAGUGGGUUUCCAGUAUUUCCACGCAGUUGAGCUUUCAUUGACAGAUGCUCGAGACAUAUCAUUAAUAAAUACACCCUCUUGGCUCUGGCUGCAUUAAUUAUGCCUGAAGAGUUUAAUGCCCAUCCAAGUCCAAAGGUGGAAGAACACAUAAACUGGGAUGGUGACGGGCAAGAGCAGACUGUAGAAGCACAGGCUGGAGGUGCUAGUGCAGCCCUGUGGGAAGUUUUCUUCCACAGAGGCCGAGUACAACAGGCCUGCUAAAGAGACCAGGGGAAUAAGGACAGUCAAUGUAGGAAGAGAGAGAAACAUCUUCUCCCCCACUUAGUAAACGAACCCGCCACGCUGACUUGUUAAAACCUAGAUGGUGGUAAGAAAAUUGAGUUGGUGUGUGUUUCGUUGUUUUGUUUUUAAUUAUGAUCUAGUGCUGCUCCAUCUCUUCUUGCUUCUUAUUCGGACGUGUCAUCCGAGCUGCCUGCGGUAUCAUAUUAGGAAUCCCAUCAAUAAUUGGAUAGGCUAUUCCCAACUCUUCGUUAAUCAAUUCAUUUGUUGAUGCUUCAUACCUGAGGGGGAAAAAGAAAAACAAGAUGAAUCGUGGAAAACAAAAUGCUUGGAAGAGCUUGAUAUUCAAUAACCAACACCAUUUAUCCAAUUCUUGGCACAGACUUAAUCCCAGAAAAGCACAAUUAAAAUACUUUCAAUUCUAAAAGCAGUAAUAGCCAACUGAACUGUUUCUCUUAGAAAGCGAAUCUCUAAUUCUUCCCAUUUUAGUCAGUUUCUCUCAUAUUUUCUUUUUCACUUUAUUCUCAAGCUAUGCCUUUAUUUUUUUUUAUACCAGUCAGAAAAGAUCUCCCCUUUUAUCCAAAUAUUUCUUUACUCUGGUCAACCCUCAAACCAUCCGAGUCAAUUUACUACCGGAAUAGCCACUAGAGAAAAAUUCAACUUCUUCGUGUUAUGAUACAUGCUUAACAGAGCAACCUAACUGAUCCAUUAGAAGGAAACCACCGAAAAAUCAACAUGCACAAAACAGAAGUCUGAGAAAGACGAGAGGGCAGAAAUGAAACUGGAAAGCGGCGGGUCUGCAGUGAGCUGGUUACAGAAUUACCUAAAAGGUGGAGAAAGUGGUAAUUUCAAGGUUUAAGAACAUUGAAUGAGUAAUACGUUCAUUAUGGGAAGAAUCUAGGAAGAGAAAUGCAAAGAGAUGAAAAUAAAAAUUACUAGCAAUCUACCCCCCAAGAUAAAGACUGGUAACAUUUGGGUGUUUAGUGUAUUCGAUGUGCAAACCCAGCGUCGUCAAAGUUCAGCGUCGGCAGCCCGGACUGCAGAGCUGCGCAACCCAGGGACUCUAGGUCAAAGACGAAGGGGCCUGUACAAACCCGGCCAGUCCAGAACUAACGCCCAAGGGCAGCACACGGAGCUGACAGGCUUAAGGCCGCCAGGCACUGCACAAGAAUAUGGAGGCCACCACAAUACUUUUCAUCAUCUUCGCUUAAAAAUCUGACCGCCUUGGACUAGUCCUGAAUCCCGACAGCGCGUAAACCUGAAUCUGAAUCACGUGGGAUCUUUGUAAGAAAAUACGUACUGGCUCAGGCCCCGCCCUCAGGCCUUCCGCUUCUGUCCGCCGGGGACCCGGGAAUCGGCAUUUUAAGGGUUCCCCGGCGGCGACCCUCUAAAGCUUCCAUCCCUACCCGCGGGCCGGCCGUGUAACUCGCUCGGCCCUCGCCGCCCGGAGAGGUACGUGGGAGCCGGCUGGGCCCGGGUCCAGAAAAUGGCCGCGAGGACACAGGACGAGCCCGAAGGCCCGCAGCGGCGCGCGGCCCGCCCCCCCGCACGGCGGCCCGUCUCACCGGAGCGGCUUCUUGGAGAGCGGGCACACCAGGAACUCCAGCAGCGCCGGGUCGAAGGCGCGGGCCGGCCCCUCCGGGUCCUCGCUUUUGUCUGCCAACGGCCGCGCCCCGGACGCGUGCAGCCGCCUCUGGGCGGUUGCGGCCGGCGGCGCGCGCGUCCCCCGCAGCGACGAGGCAAGCCGGCCGCACGCUCCCCUCAGCAUGGUCCGCGCCCGCGCCCGCCGCCCCGCUUCGCCCGCAGCCGCCCCACCGCUCCCCGCGGCCCGCCCCGCCGGCCAGGCCGCGCCCCCGGUGCUCGGGAAACGCAGUCCCGCGGGGCGGGCUCUAGCGCUUUGGUUCCGAGGGCCCUCCCGCCCGGAGUGGUUUUCCCGCCGCCCGGAGUGGUUUUCCCGCCGCCCGGCUCUCUAGUUCCGAGGCUUCCGGGGGCUGUUUACCGGCUUUACAAAUUAGAAACAAAACCGAUGCCUAAAUCGGGGCGUCCUCAGUUUUCUCCAGGACCUGUCGCAGGGCUGCGGGGAAGCCAGUGGGCGGUCCUCACAGUCACCCGGUGUGAGACUUGGACCUACGUGUUAUCUCCAAAAUGAGGUUUCAAACGCAGCCGGAGCGGGUGUGCAGAAGCAGUGAUUUGCCUUUGUAAAUCUUUACUGUACCACAGGAGACCCAGGAAAGCCGAGGGAAUAAAUCCAGUCUGAGUCCAAAGUCCUGAGGACCAGGGGAGCAGAUGAUGUAAAUCCCAGUCCAAGGGCAGGAGAAGACAGACAUCCCAGCUCAAGCCACAAGGCCUUGCUCAUCCCUUCUCCCGGUGCUGUGGAUUUGGCCCCGUGAAGGAUCUUGAAGCGUGCGGACCUGGCAGCGCUCCUCAGUAUCCCGGUUGCUUGCCUUUGGGGACUAGACAGCUCCUGCUCACGAAGGACUGCACCUGCGUCCAGGACUGGACGGGGAGGUGAAACGAGAAGUUACUGAGGCGCUGUACUUCCGUUCCCCUUGGUUCCUCCAUCGGUUGCUCCUCUAAUUUAAUUCUGAGUGGGUGGGAACACAUCUAUGUCCAGUACAGUGCCGGCUUCUCCCUAUUUUUUUUCCUAAACAUUUCUGUCUCCACAGCACACCUUUCCACAGUGGCCGAUAGGCAAGGCAAAGGAGGCAAAG